rnacentral:rRNA from 1 species
UGGAGGAAAGCAGGGGAUCGUAAGACCUUGCGCUUUUGGAGUGGCCGAUGCCUGAUUAGCUAGUUGGUGGGGUAAGAGCCUACCAAGGCGACGAUCAGUAGUUGGUCUGAGAGGACGACCAGCCACACUGGGACUGAGACACGGCCCAGACUCCUACGGGAGGCAGCAGUGGGGAAUUUUGGACAAUGGGCGGAAGCCUGAUCCAGCAAUGCCGCGUGAGUGAAGAAGGCCUUCGGGUUGUAAAGCUCUUUCAGUCGAGAAGAAAAGGUUGUGACUAAUAAUCGCAACUUAUGACGGUAUCGACAGAAGAAGCACCGGCUAACUACGUGCCAGCAGCCGCGGUAAUACGUAGGGUGCGAGCGUUAAUCGGAAUUACUGGGCGUAAAGGGUGCGCAGGCGGCUCUGUAAGUCAGAUGUGA